CGCUGGGUACCGCGUGUGAAACACUCCAUUCGCUUAUUGAUUGAGCCGCCGUCAAAUUCAAUCACAAGUGAAAAUGGAUUUUUUAAUGCGACUAUUAGCUGCUUUUGAAAGGCAAAUUGAGUUCGGUUAUACCGAGUCAGCCAUCAAAAAACAAUUUGCCGUCAGGCAGAAGGGCCGGAGAGGAGCAGCGCCCGCGGGUCGGGAGAUCCGAGACGGGAGCCACAGGAAAAUACGGCUUUUCCUCCUCAAAAACGCACUGGAUGAGGAAGAUCACAAAGGCUCCGCGAGGAAGGUGCGGUGACACCGGGCUGGGGAGGGACAUUUCUGCACAGCAAGGCUGGGGACAAACGAGCUGCGAACGUAGCGGGGGCUGAGCCCGCUCCCAGUGCCAGCUCUCAGGUACCUGGGAGGGCAGCAGGGAUGUGGGGGCUGAGGACACCCUUGAACAGAAAUCCCUGGCCUGACACUGCUCUAUCCGAAACUUCCCUGAGUCACUUUGGCCUCGGCCCCGUGAGGAGGCGACAGCUCCAGAGGGAAUUUUGCAGGGCACUGCACCAAAUCCCGCAGCAUUCCCGAGCCCUGAGGAGGGACUGGCUGCAGGGAGCUCGGGGUGACACCUGCAGCUCCCGAGACAUGGGGGCAUUGUGGGAUGGGACCCCAAAAGCUGCACCCCAGUGUGGGAAGGAGGAAAGCAGGACUGGCCAGGUGAGGGUGUCAGCUCAAGUCCCAGCAGGUUCCCCGCAGUGCGGCGCGGUCCAGCCCCGGCUCCUUCCAUCAUGUCACUUUUCCUAAGCACCAAGAUUUCUUUUCUGCUUUGUAUUUCUGGCAAGAAACCUUUGCAUUUAGAUAAGGAAUAAAGCCUGGAAUCAGAUCUGAA